rfam:Equus caballus chromosome X, whole genome shotgun sequence.
GGCCUCCAUGCUCCUAGUCCCUUCCUUGAAGGGUCGGAUAAGUCACAUGACGAGCCUCAAGCAAGGGACUUUGAGCUGGUGGCU